GAUGAACGCUGGCGGCGUGCUUAACACAUGCAAGUCGAACGAGAAGUGAAGACGGAACCCUUCGGGCGGAAGGCUUUAUUUCGAGUGGCGGACGGGUGAGUAACGCGUGGGUAACCUGCCUCAUACAGGGGGAUAACAGUUGGAAACGACUGUUAAUACCGCAUAAGACCACAGCACCGCAUGGUGCGGGGGUGAAAACUCCGGUGGUAUGAGAUGGACCCGCGUUCGAUUAGCCAGUUGGCGGGGUAACGGCCCACCAAAGCGACGAUCGAUAGCCGAUCUGAGAGGAUGGCCGGCCACAUGGGGACUGGGACGCGGCCCGAACUCCUACGGGAUGCAGCAGAGGGGAAUAUUGCACAAUGGGGGGAACCCUGAUGCAGCGACGCCGCGUGAGUGAAGAAGUAUUUCGGUAUGUAAAGCGCUAUCAGCAGGGAAGAAAAUGACGGUACCUGAGUAAGAAGCCCCGGCUAACUACGUG
rnacentral:rRNA from 1 species